CCUACGGGCGGCAGCAGUAGGGAAUCUUCCACAAUGGGCGAAAGCCUGAUGGAGCAACGCCGCGUGGGUGAAGAAGGUCUUCGGAUCGUAAAACCCUGUUGUUCGAGAAACAAGUGCGUGAACGUAACUGUUCACGUUUCGACGGUAUCUAACCAGACAGCCUCGGCUAACUACGUGCCAGCAGCCGCGGUAAUACGUAGGUGGCAAGCGCUGUCCGGAUUUAUUGGGCGUAAAGGGAACGCAGGCGGGCUUUUAAGUCUGAUGUGAAAGCCUUCGGCUUAACCGGAGGAGUGCAUUGGAAACUGGGAGACUUGAGUGCAGAAGAGGAGAGGGGAACUGCAUGGGU
rnacentral:rRNA from 1 species